AAAUUAUUGGGCGUAAAAGGGGCUUGGCAGGGCGGGUUUCUUAAAGUUCUGAUGUGAAAGCCCCCCGGCUCAACCGGGGGAGGGUUCAUUGGAAAACUGGGGGAACUUGAGUGCAGAAAGAAGGAAGAGGUGGAAAUUCCACCGUGUAGCGGGUGAAAUGCGUAGAGAUGUGGAGGAACACCAGUGGCGAAAGGCGACUCUCUGGUCUGUAACUGACGCUGAGGAGCGAAAGCGUGGGGAGCGAACAGGGAUUAGAUACCCUGGUAGUUCCACGCCGUAAAACGAUGAGUGCUAAGUGUUAGGGGGUUUCCGCCCCUUAGUGCUGCAGCUAACGCAUUAAGCACUCCGCCUGGGGAGUACGGUCGCAAGACUGAAACUCAAAGGAAUUGACGGGGGCCCGCACAAGCGGUGGAGCAUGUGGUUUAAUUCGAAGCAACGCGAAGAACCUUACCAGGUCUUGACAUCCUCUGACAAUCCUAGAGAUAGGACGUCCCCUUCGGGGGCAGAGUGACAGGUGGUGCAUGGUUGUCGUCAGCUCGUGUCGUGAGAUGUUGGGUUAAGUCCCGCAACGAGCGCAACCCUUGAUCUUAGUUGCCAGCAUUCAGUUGGGCACUCUAAGGUGACUGCCGGUGACAAACCGGAGGAAGGUGGGGAUGACGUCAAAUCAUCAUGCCCCUUAUGACCUGGGCUACACACGUGCUACAAUGGACAGAACAAAGGGCAGCGAAACCGCGAGGUUAAGCCAAUCCCACAAAUCUGUUCUCAGUUCGGAUCGCAGUCUGCAACUCGACUGCGUGAAGCCGGAAUCGCUAGUAAUCGCGGAUCAGCAUGCCGC
rnacentral:rRNA from 1 species